UUGCAACCAUUAUUACUGGCUUUGGAAAGCAUCUGCUGAGAUGGGAUGGAUCUAAAUAGUGAGGCUGGUACUUUUGCUGCUACAUUCAGAGAAGAUAAUCGCCAUUCUCUCUCUUGUAAAUCUACUGUUGAAAUCACUUGGGUGGUUAAAUAAAGCCAUCCAGGCAUCUGUUACAACAGUAGUAGAUCUUUGUCCAGCAAUAGAAUCUACGCUUUGAUCAAUCAGAGAGAUAUCUGUUAAGAACAUACUGGAAGAAGCAAAGAUUUCAGUCCAAAAGUUGACUAAUUAAAGUACUUACAUUGACUCCUUAAGUGAAGAGGACAAGAAGUAUUUGUUAAGCCAUCUGAAAAAGUACACAGACUUGAUUCUUACAAAUCUACAACAGCGACUUCUGGAUUCUGCUCAAUCUGUACGUAGCUUUUACAGAUGCCUGCCUUAUAAAACACUGACAGUUGAGUGGAGAAUUUGAACACAGAGUGGAAUAUCAUAUGACAAAUGAAUGAAGAUUUUACUUCAACUUCUUUUUUAUCAUAACUAGUGGCUUGACCCGAUCUUUGUGCUAUGUUUCCUGGGAUGAAAGAAGUAGGAAUUCAUUCCUUGCUACUCCCAACAGCUACAGGUGAGUGUUCUUUUUCUCAUUGAAUAGAAUUUUAUGUUCUGACAGAAGUCGCCUACUGCCUGGUCAUGUGACUGAACUAAAGAGCAUAUCAGUUGAAGGACUGGAAGGACUGGACAUAUGAGAAGCCACCGAAGAUGAAUGCAUUGCAUUGAGAAGUUCAUAAACAGAGUUGUGCAAAAUUGCAACAAGAAGCCAAGAAGGCUGUAGAUGUAUGGCUUCAUACAAGACCUGGUGUUCAGAGGGCCCCAGACCUCAAAUUGCCUGAUGACCGAUUUUGGACCGAGGCGAGAAAAACACAGGAUCAGACUGGAUCUGGACCCAGUGUUACAUAUGUGUGUGGGGCUGUACUGCUAAAUGCAAGAACAUAAAGAUCCUGCCCAGGAGAGCUUGGUCUAAAGCAGUGUUUCUCAAAUGUGACCACCAGGAGCUUUUCUUGUGGCCACAGCCUCUUGGCUGUGAUUGGAGGAGCGAAAGCAAGGCAGCGACCCCUCCUUCUUAUGUCUGGAUGCACCACCUUGAUGUUGGCUGCUGGGGCCACCAGCAGAGGUUGGGCCCUGCCCUCCUUUGGAGACACCCAGGGCACAAAGGUGGAGGAGCAGGCAGCCGGUGGGUUUCCCAUCUUCCCAGCAACGGUGGGGACAGGCUUUGGGCUUCAGCCUUGGGUGGCGGGGAGGCAGGAUCUGGCUGCGGGGCUUCAGACUCCAGCCCUGGGCUCUGGCUGCGCGGUGGCAGGCCCCACGCUCUGGUUGCAGGGCUUCAGGCUCCAGUGCCCCACCCCCAUCUCUUCCAACCCCCUACUUCCUCCCCUUGCCCUCCAUCCAGGGCUUAAUUUGUCCCCA